GACGAACGCUGGCGGCGUGCCUAAUACAUGCAAGUAGAACGCUGAAGGAGGAGCUUGCUUCUCUGGAUGAGUUGCGAACGGGUGAGUAACGCGUAGGUAACCUGCCUGGUAGCGGGGGAUAACUAUUGGAAACGAUAGCUAAUACCGCAUAACAGUAGAUGUUGCAUGACAUUUGCUUAAAAGGUGCAAUUGCAUCACUACCAGAUGGACCUGCGUUGUAUUAGCUAGUUGGUGGGGUAACGGCUCACCAAGGCGACGAUACAUAGCCGACCUGAGAGGGUGAUCGGCCACACUGGGACUGAGACACGGCCCAGACUCCUACGGGAGGCAGCAGUAGGGAAUCUUCGGCAAUGGACGGAAGUCUGACCGAGCAACGCCGCGUGAGUGAAGAAGGUUUUCGGAUCGUAAAGCUCUGUUGUAAGAGAAGAACGAGUGUGAGAGUGGAAAGUUCACACUGUGACGUAUCUACCAGAA
rnacentral:rRNA from 1 species